ACAUACUAUCAGUCCGGCAGUCAGACUAUGAAAGAUAAGUUCCAUGGUCAAAAGGGAAACAGCCCAGAUCGUCAGCUAAGGUCCCAAAGUGUAAGUUAAGUGGAAAAGGAUGUGGAUUUCUAAGACAACUAGGAUGUUGGCUUAGAAGCAGCCACUCAUUAAAAGAGUGCGUAAUAGCUCACUAGUCAAGAGAUCCUGCGCCGAAAAUGUCCGGGGCUCAAACUUACCACCGAAGCUACGGGUUCACGCUAUUUUGCGUGAGCGGUAGAGGAGCGUCGUAAUCGGGCUGAAGUCGUACCGUAAGGAGCGGUGGACUGAUUACGAGUGAGAAUGUUGGCAUUAGUAGCGAGAUGUAGGCGAGAAUCCUACAGGCCGAAUAUCUAAGGUUUCCUGAGUAAAGUUUGUCUUCUCAGGGUUAGUCGGGACCUAAGGCGAGGCCGAAAGGCGUAGUCGAUGGACAAUUGGUUGAUAUUCCAAUACCACUAUAAUCGUUAUUAUCGAUGGUGUGACGGAGAAGGAUAGGAUGUGCUAGCUAUUGGAUGCUAGUCUAAGCGUUUAGGGAGUUGGGAUUGGCAAAUCCGUUCCAACAAUUCUGAGGCGUGAUGGGGAAGGUUCUACGGAACCGAAGUAUCUGAUUCCAUGCUUCCAAGAAAAGCAUCUAGAGAGAGAAGUAGUGCCCGUACCGCAAACCGACACAGGUAGAUGAGGAGAGAAUCCUAAGGCCGACGGAAGAAUUGCAGUUAAGGAACUAGGCAAAUUGACCCCGUAACUUCGGGAGAAGGGGUGCCUGAGAAAUCAGGCCGCAGAGAAUAGGCACAAGCACUGUUUAACAAAAACACAGGUCUCUGCUAAAGCGAAAGCUGAUGUAUAGGGGCUGACGCCUGCCCGGUGCUGGAAGGUUAAGGGGAACACUUAGUGGGUAACGCGAAGGUGUGAACUUAAGCCCCAGUAAACGGCGGCCGUAACUAUAACGGUCCUAAGGUAGCGAAAUUCCUUGUCAGGUAAGUUCUGACCCGCACGAAUGGCGUAAUGACUUGUGCACUGUCUCAACUGCAAAUCCGGCGAAGUUGUAGUGCGAGUGAAGAUGCUCGCUACCCGCGAUUGGACGGAAAGACCCCGUAGAGCUUUACUGUAGCUUAGCAUUGAAUUUCGGUAUUGUCUGUACAGGAUAGGUGGGAGACUGGGAAACUAGGGCGUCAGCCUUGGUGGAGUCGUUGUUGGGAUACCACCCUGAUAGUAUUGAAGUUCUAACUGGAUGCCAUGAAACUGGUGACAGGACAUUGUUAGGUGGGCAGUUUGACUGGGGCGGUCGCCUCCUAAAUGUAACGGAGGCGCCCAAAGGUUCCCUCAGAACGGUCGGAAAUCGUUCGAAGAGUGUAAAGGCAGAAGGGAGCCUGACUGCGACACCUACAAGUGGAGCAGGGACGAAAGUCGGGCUUAGUGAUCCGGUGGUACCUCGUGGGAGGGCCAUCGCUCAACGGAUAAAAGCUACCUCGGGAUAACAGGCUGAUCUCCCCCAAGAGUUCACAUCGACGGGGAGGUUUGGCACCUCGAUGUCGGCUCGUCGCAUCCUGGGGCUGAAGUAGGUCCCAAGGGUUGGGCUGUUCGCCCAUUAAAGCGGCACGCGAGCUGGGUUCAGAACGUCGUGAGACAGUUCGGUCCCUAUCCGUCGCGGGCGUAGGAAAUUUGAGAGGAGCUGUCCUUAGUACGAGAGGACCGGGAUGGACUGACCUAUGGUGUACCAGUUGUUUCGCCAGAAGCAUAGCUGGGUAGCUAAGUCGGGAAGGGAUAAACGCUGAAAGCAUCUAAGUGUGAAGCCCACCUCAAGAUGAGAUUUCCCAUAGCAUAAGCUAGUAAGACCCCUUGAAGACUACAAGGUUGAUAGGUCAGAGGUGUAAGUAUGGUAACAUAUUUAGCUGACUGAUACUAAUAGUCGAGGGCUUGACCAA
rnacentral:rRNA from 1 species